rnacentral:tRNA from 1 species
GGAGGGGUUCCCGAGUGGCCAAAGGGAUCAGACUGUAAAUCUGACGCGUAAGCUUCGCAGGUUCGAAUCCUGCCCCCUCCA